UCUCUUCUACGGAAGAACCUCUUUUUUCCUGAUAACCGCUCUCUCUCGACUGCGAGCUCUUUCGCGGGAGCAGUAGGGAGGACGAACGACAAGGAUUAGGAGGAGGCGAGACCGUACGUGGUCUGAACCCAAGGUCCCCGCUCUCUCAGGCGCGCUCUCUCUUGAUCUCUUUGUUUCGUUCGAGUCAUAACUCUCACCUUCACCGCAAUGCAUAGGUACAGUGUUCGACGAGAACACCAAUCGGUCGCCUCCGCCUCCAUAUCGUCCUCAACAUGCUCAGCACACAGUCCCUCCAACAGUCAGGCACAACAGCAGCCGCAACAACAGCUCAGCGAGGGCACUAACGUCACCGAGAUCCAACUGGCAGGGGUCACUCUUGAGAUACAAGAGGAGCAGCAUUUACUUGAAAACCAAUAAAUAAAAAUAUAUUUUUUGUGUGCC